rnacentral:misc_RNA from 1 species
GUCGUACCAAACAUGGUCUUAUUCCCUUCCCUCCUCUAUAGCCAACCAUUUAUUUAUUAUACAAAGCAAAAAAAACAUCUUAAAAUAUAUACGUACACAUAUAACAAAAAAGUUGCAUAAAUAUCAUACAAAAGGAAGAAAAAAAUUAAGCCUUACCAGUACUACCACCCCUAUCAGGAAGCUUGCCAUUAGACCUCACAGUCACUACUGACUUUGACGAUGCAGAAGAUGAUCUGGUAGACCUAUCAAACUCUUGUUUAUCCUCAGUAAAUGCCUUAGUUAGAACUUCCUGGAGUUCCAUGUAUCUUCUUUUCUUUUGGAGUCGUUCCUCUGGAGUGUCAUUCCCCAAAUAGGCGAGCUGCGAUAAGUCAUCAGCAUCCAUGAUCCUGUUUAGUACUUCUGAGCACUUAGGGAAAAACCUUUUCCCAAGUUCCACAGUUUUAGAGAGCGCUCUCAUCCUACUCAGAUGCUCCUCUUGAAUUCUGAAAGGUGCCUCAUUCAAAUCCACUGUUGUCCUCUGAGCACCAGCCAAAUUCUUCACCUUGGCGCUAGUUAAUGGAAAUUCACUAGUGCCAUCCACUUGAGCAAUAUCCAUCGCAACUUUCGCUUCCAUGGGGAAUAAAAGUUUUGCCAGCCCAACUCUAUUUUCAAGGUACAAUAAUUUCAUUCGCAGGUCAUCACCAGCCAUAGCAAGAGAAAGAGAAGCCUCUCCAAGCAAUGGAUCUCUUCUUUCUGCUUGUUCCAAUACCUCUAUGCAUAAUCGUUCCUUGGGAGAAGCUUUUCCUUCCUCAGUAUAGCUAUAGUAAUCUGAAGCCCUAGUAAGUCGCUUCGAUAUUUGAAGUGCUUUUCUACCAUCCAGAGUAAGAUCUGACGGACGAGCUCCCUUAGUCAAGAGAGAUACAAUAAUCUUAGGCUCUUUACGCAUUGCAGCAACAUGCAGUACAGUGUAGCCUCUUGAAUUUCCCUUAAAUUUUUAUGGUUUACAUCAGCAAUUCCAAGAUCAAGAAGCUCGGUGGUAGUCUUUGCAUCACAGUACGCAACAGCAUAAUGGAGUGCAUGUGCAUCAUCCAAAUUGGUAUGCGCCUCUUUUAGUAGCAUUCUAACUAAUUCUACAUCAUCUGAGUCCAAAGCCCGGUGUAUUCUCUUUACAUGUUUAUCAGGAUAACCUGUGCUUUCAGGUGUCUCCAGACCAAACUCUAAGCGAGAAUCUGUUAUUUGCUUUACAAUGUGUUGAGGCAAGGCCUUGUCAAGAGUUACAAUAUCAGCAUCAGAUUUCAUAAUGAUCUCGAUACAUCUUGCAAACAAUCUCUCACAAGCUUUACCACAUAUAUUUGCAACAGAUAGAACCACCAAGAUGUCAUCAAUUGC